rnacentral:rRNA from 1 species
UUGCCUUUAGUUGCCAGCAGUUCGGCUGGGCACUCUAAAGGGACCUGCCGGUGUUAAACCGGAGGAAGGUGGGGAUGAACGUCAAGUCCUCAUGGCCUUUAUGACCAGGGCUACACACGUACUACAAUGGCCGAUACAAAGGGCAGCGACACUGCGAGGUGAAGCCAAUCCCGUAAAAUCGGUCUCAGUCCGGAUUGGAGUCUGCAACUCGACUCCAUGAAGUUGGAAUCGCUAGUAAUCGUGGAUCAGCAUGCCACGGUGAAUACGUUCCCGGGCCUU